rnacentral:rRNA from 1 species
GACGAACGCUGGCGGCGUGCCUAAUACAUGCAAGUAGAACGCACAGUUUAUACCGUAGCUUGCUACACCAUAGACUGUGAGUUGCGAACGGGUGAGUAACGCGUAGGUAACCUGCCUGGUAGCGGGGGAUAACUAUUGGAAACGAUAGCUAAUACCGCAUAAUAUUAAUUAUUGCAUGAUAAUUGAUUGAAAGAUGCAACUGCAUCACUACCAGAUGGACCUGCGUUGUAUUAGCUAGUAGGUGAGGUAACGGCUCACCUAGGCGACGAUACAUAGCCGACCUGAGAGGGUGAUCGGCCACACUGGGACUGAGACACGGCCCAGACUCCUACGGGAGGCAGCAGUAGGGAAUCUUCGGCAAUGGACGAGAGUCUGACCGAGCAACGCCGCGUGAGUGAAGAAGGUUUUCGGAUCGUAAAGCUCUGUUGUAAGAGAAGAACGGGUGUGAGAGUGGAAAGUUCACACUGUGACGGUAUCUUACCAGAAAGGGACGGCUAACUACGUG